rnacentral:rRNA from 1 species
AUGUUUCCCCCCUUCAUCGGUACCACCUCGUACCGCGUUAGGGCACACCUAGCAUCACGCUUUGUCAUGUCAUGCAUCGUCAUGCAAUUGUUUGCAUUAUAUUUAUUGUUUCUUCCCCCUCUUCUCUCGCUAGGCACCGAGACCGACGCCGCUGCUACCCAGUACGACUACGGUGUUGACGACCACUCUCUCUUGCCAGAGCAACCAGAUGCUGGAGCCCAGGAGCCAGACGCCACUGUCGAUGACGACUCCUACUACACCGGAGGUGCCUACUACUACGUGCUGCCCGCUGACGACGACCAGGAGUAG